rnacentral:rRNA from 1 species
UUGGAGGGCAAGUCUGGUGCCAGCAGCCGCGGUAAUUCCAGCUCCAAUAGCGUAUAUUAAAGUUGUUGCAGUUAAAAAGCUCGUAGUUGAAUUUCGGGGUUCUUCCGUUGGUCAGGCUAACCAGUCUGUACUAGCGUGUAGAAUCUCUACCUUCUGGGGAACCAUCAUGUUAUUAAUUUAGCGUGGUGGGAAACCAGGACCUUUACCUUGAAAAAAUUAGAGUGUUCAAAGCAGGCUUACGUCUGAAUACAUUAGCAUGGAAUAAUAAAAUAGGACGGUGGUCCUGUUUUGUUGGUUUCUGAAUCACCGUAAUGAUUAAUAGGGAUAGUUGGGGGCAUUAGUAUUCAAUUGUCAGAGGUGAAAUUCUUGGAUUUAUUGAAGACUAACUUCUGCGAAAGCAUUUGCCAAGGAUGUUUUCAUUAAUCAAGAACGAAAGUUAGGGGAUCGAAGACGAUCAGAUACCGUCGUAGUCUUAACCAUAAACUAUGCCGACUAGGGAUCGGACGAUGUUAAAUUUUAUUGACUCGUUCGGCGCCUUACGGGAAAC